AGCAGCCGCGGUAAUUCCAGCUCCAAUAGCGUAUAUUAAAGUUGUUGCAGUUAAAAAGCUCGUAGUUGAAUUUCGGGAUCAAUAUGUUGGUCGUGCCUUGGUACGUACUGGCAUUAUCGAUUCCUACCUUCUGAAGAACCUCGAUGUCAUUAAUUUGGUGUCUUGGGGAAUCAGGACUGUUACUUUGAAAAAUUAGAGUGUUUAAAGCAGGCUCGCGCUUGAAUACAUUAGCAUGGAAUAAUGAAAUAGGACGUUUGAUUCUAUUUUGUUGGUUUCUAGGAUCGACGUAAUGAUUAAUAGGGAUAGUUGGGGGCAUUAGUAUUCAAUUGUCAGAGGUGAAAUUCUUGGAUUUAUUGAAGACUAACUACUGCGAAAGCAUUUGCCAAGGAUGUUUUCAUUAAUCAAGAACGAAAGUUAGGGGAUCGAAGACGAUCAGAUACCGUCGUAGUCUUAACCAUAAACUAUGCCGACUAGGGAUCGGAUGAUGUUAAUUUUUAAUGACUCAUUCGGCGUACCCG
rnacentral:sRNA from 1 species